CCGGGUCCCGCGUCCUCUCGGCAGCCGCCGACGGAGCCCGGCCCGGCCGAAGGAGGAGGGGAGAAGAGGAGCGUUGACAGAUGCUGUCUUGGAGCGGCGACCGCCGGGGGAAAAGCGUGGACUGCCUCAGUGAGACGCGGCUGGUCGGCAACCGGCCCCAGCCUCGCGUUCGCCUUAAAGAUCCUAUUGGCUAGGACACCUUCCCUCCGCAGCCGCCCGCGCAGCUCCGCUCCCGCGCCCUGCGCCCGGCUCCGCGGACUAGCGCGCCCGGUCAAGAAUCCUGGGGAACCCGCUCCGCCCCCUGUUCCAGCGCCCUCCAAUAAUGUCGGCGUACAGAGGGCAGUUCCGUCCAAUCAGGCGUCUGAAAGGCCAAGCAGUCCCCAGGAGUGUAGCCAAUAAAAGGCGACUCCGGCAACACACCCGCCCUGAUCCACUGGGAACAAACCGCCCUGAGCCCUGCGGUGGGACCGAUCCUGGCUCCCAGAUCAAGUCAAGUCCGGCCGCAGCUGUGUCACAAAACAUGAAUAUCCAUGGCUCAUAUCUCCUGCUCAGGGAGCAUAAUCAACCAAGUUUCCCAGCUGCUGUUCUUCUGGGUCUGCCUCAGUUCCUGCUGAAGUCACAAUUCCCACAGGCUACUCAAGUAGCAACUGAGCAUAACAGGAGAACUAAUGCAGGUCCAUUUCUGGAACACAUGGGACUCCACAACCAAGAGACUUUGACUUAAGGACUCCUGAUUAGAGUGUCAAAAAUGCCUUGGAACUGCACCAUGGUCUAAAACUCUUCCUUUUCAAUCCUACCUUCUCUCUCCCUUUCACUGGGGUCAGACCUGCAUGACAGGCUGCAGGCUUCCUUCCCCUCUUUCCCCCUUUUACUUUACAAACAUUUCUCCAAUACAUUUCUUACAUUUCUAAUUUUGUCUCGGUGUCUGCUUUUUGGAACUAAUGCACUGUAUAUCUGUCACUUGUAAAGCAUGUUUUAAGAGGUCUAUGAUUAAUUUUAUUUUAAUCUGACAAAUUUUUCUUUUAAUGGAUGAGUUUAAUCUACUUAUCUAUUUGUGAUUUAUGGUAUAUUUAGCUUUACUAUUAUAUUGUUUUCCAUUUGCCAGCCUACUUCUUGACCUUUAGUUUUCUCCUUUCAUGUUUUCAAUUUGACUGCUUAAAUCCUAACAGGAAAAGUAUGGGAUACUAAAAUAAGAUAGCUUAAACUAUCAAUGGCUUAAAUUCAAAGUUAUUUCUCACCCAUUUGCAUGAUAAUUGUGCGUUGACUUAUUUAGUUUUUCAGAAACCCGAACUGAUGAAGGUUCCAUCUCAACACACUUCCCUAAGAAAGGCAAAUAAAAAAGAAUAUACCAAAUACCCA
rnacentral:lncRNA from 13 species